rnacentral:misc_RNA from 1 species
AAGUCGUAACAAGGUUUCCGUAGGUGAACCUGCGGAAGGAUCAUUAUGAAUCUUCGGUAUAUGCUUUUAAGGAAGGAUCAGAGUUUAACCACACUAUAGUGGAUCUGUGAAUUUCUUUCAAGCUAUACCAAACCCCACUUUGUGAACUAUUUAGUAACCUUGGGUAAAACCAUGGUUGUCCACGUUGUAUAAAUUGUCUUAUUUUCUUAAUAAUACAACUUUUAGCAAUGGAUCUCUUGGCUCUC